GACGAACGCUGGCGGCGUGCCUAAUACAUGCAAGUCGAACGCAGUGGGGAUGGGUGAGUAACACGUGGGUAACCUCCCAUCUGAGGGGGGAAACCUUGGCUACAGGUGCUAAACCGCUACUGAUGGAUGGACCCGCGGUGCAUUAGCCAGUGGGUGAGGUAACGGCUCACCAAGGCGACGAUGCAUAGCCGGCCUGAGAGGCUGAUCAGCCACACUGGGACUGAGACACGGCCCAGACUCCUACGGGAGGCAGCAGUAGGGAAUAUUGGGCAAUGGACGAAAGUCUGACCCAGCAACGCCGCGUGAGUGAAGAAGGUUUUCGGAUCGUAAAGCUCUGUUGUUAGAGAGGCGGUAUCUAACCAGGAAGCCACGGCUAACUACGUGCCAGCAGCCGCGGUAAUAC
rnacentral:rRNA from 1 species